rnacentral:rRNA from 1 species
GACGAACGCUGGCGGCGUGCCUAAUACAUGCAAGUUGAGCGAUGAAGAUUGGUGCUUGCACCAAUUUGAAGAGCAGCGAACGGGUGAGUAACGCGUGGGGAAUCUGCCUUUGAGCGGGGGACAACAUUUGGAAACGAAUGCUAAUACCGCAUAACAACUUUAAACAUAAGUUUUAAGUUUGAAAGAUGCAAUUGCAUCACUCAAAGAUGAUCCCGCGUUGUAUUAGCUAGUUGGUGAGGUAAAGGCUCACCAAGGCGAUGAUACAUAGCCGACCUGAGAGGGUGAUCGGCCACAUUGGGACUGAGGCACGGCCCAAACUCCUACGGGAGGCAGCAGUAGGGAAUCUUCGGCAAUGAACGAAAGUCUGACCGAGCAACGCCGCGUGAGUGAAGAAGGUUUUCGGAUCGUAAAACUCUGUUGGUAGAGAAGAACGUUGGUGAGAGUGGAAAGCUCAUCAAGUGACGGUAACUACCCAGAAAGGGACGGCUAACUACGUGC